rnacentral:rRNA from 1 species
GAUGAACGCUGGCGGCGUGCUUAACACAUGCAAGUCGAACGAUGAAGCCCAGCUUGCUGGGUGGAUUAGUGGCGAACGGGUGGGUAACACGUGAGUAACCUGCCCUUAACUCUGGGAUAAGCCUGGGAAACUGGGUCUAAUACCGGAUAGGAGCGUCCACCGCAUGGUGGGUGUUGGAAAGAUUUAUCGGUUUUGGAUGGACUCGCGGCCUAUCAGCUUGUUGGUGAGGUAAUGGCUCACCAAGGCGACGACGGGUAGCCGGCCUGAGAGGGUGACCGGCCACACUGGGACUGAGACACGGCCCAGACUCCUACGGGAGGCAGCAGUGGGGAAUAUUGCACAAUGGGCGAAAGCCUGAUGCAGCGACGCCGCGUGAGGGAUGACGGCCUUCGGGUUGUAAACCUCUUUCAGUAGGGAAGAAGCGAAAGUGACGGUACCUGCAGAAGAAGCACCGGCUAACUACGUG